GCACGCAAGUCGGGCGGCAAGGAGGAGCAAUCCUCCCUAGAGCGGCGGACCGGUGAGUAACACGUGGAUGAUCUACCUUGAGGAUGGGGAUAGUCGUUAGAAAUAGCGGGUAAUACCGAAUGUGGUUAUCUUGUUUUGACGAGAUAAAGAAAGGAGCUAAGGCUCCACCUUGAGAUGAGUCCGCGUCCCAUUACGCUAGUUGGUGAGGUAAAGGCCCACCAAGGCUAUGAUGGGUAGCCGGCCUGAGAGGGUGAACGGCCACACUGGGACUGAGAUACGGCCCAGACUCCUACGGGAGGCAGCAGCUAAGAAUAUUCCACAAUGGACGGAAGUCUGAUGGAGCGACGCCGCGUGAAUGACGAAGGCCGAAAGGUUGUAAAGUUCUUUUGCGGAUGAAGAAUAAGCGUGGGAGGGGAAUGCCCAUGUGAUGACGAUAGUCCGUGAAUAAGCCCCGGCUAAUUACGUGCCAGCAGCCGCGGUAACACGUAAGGGGCGAGCGUUGUUCGGAAUUAUUGGGCGUAAAGGGCGCGUAGGCGGUUAUGCAAGUCUGAUGUGAAAGGCGGGAGCUUAACUCCUGGAUUGCAUUGGAAACUGUGUAACUUGAGUUACGGAGGGGGAGUUGGAAUUCCUGGUGUAGGGGUGAAAUCUGUAGAUAUCAGGAAGAACACCGGUGGCGAAGGCGAACUUCCAGCCGAUAACUGACGCUGAGGCGCGAAAGUGCGGGGAGCAAACGAGGAUUAGAUACCCUGGUAGUCCGCACUAUAAACGAUGUGCGCUAGGUGUUGGGCCGAGCGGCUCGGUGCCGGAGCGAACGUGAGGAGUGCAC
rnacentral:rRNA from 1 species